rnacentral:rRNA from 1 species
AGUGAACGCUGGCGGUAGGCCUAACACAUGCAAGUCGAACGGCAGCACAGUAAGAGCUUGCUCUUACGGGUGGCGAGUGGCGGACGGGUGAGGAAUACAUCGGAAUCUACUUUUUCGUGGGGGAUAACGUAGGGAAACUUACGCUAAUACCGCAUACGACCUACGGGUGAAAGCAGGGGAUCUUCGGACCUUGCGCGAUUGAAUGAGCCGAUGUCGGAUUAGCUAGUUGGCGGGGUAAAGGCCCACCAAGGCGACGAUCCGUAGCUGGUCUGAGAGGAUGAUCAGCCACACUGGAACUGAGACACGGUCCAGACUCCUACGGGAGGCAGCAGUGGGGAAUAUUGGACAAUGGGCGCAAGCCUGAUCCAGCCACACCGCGUGGGUGAAGAGGGCCUUCGGGUUGUAAAGCCCUUUUGUUGGGAAAGAAAAGCAGCAGGUUAAUACCCCGCUGUUCUGACGGUACCCAAAGAAUAAGCACCGGUUAACUUCGUG